rnacentral:rRNA from 1 species
CGGACGGGUGAGUAUGUCUGGGAAACUGCCCGAUGGAGGGGGAUAACUACUGGAAACGGUAGCUAAUACCGCAUAACGUCGCAAGACCAAAGAGGGGGACCUUGGGCCUCUUGCCAUCGGAUGUGCCCAGAUGGGAUUAGCUAGUAGGUGGGGUAACGGCUCACCUAGGCGACGAUCCCUAGCUGGUCUGAGAGGAUGACCAGCCACACUGGAACUGAGACACGGUCCAG